ensembl:lncRNA
GCACUGCAGUGGGCAUAAACACACACACACACACAAGCCCCCAUAAGUGAUAAGCUGCAAUAAGGCUCCGGAUGCUUGCUAAUCUUCUCAACAUGAUUUUCCAUACUGGUUUACCAAACAUGCUGCUGGAUUAAAGACAUUCUAUUAAAGCAAAGGGCUUAGCAUAUGGCGCAAGGAGAACCCAACAGAAGUUGGGAAUUAGCCAUGUUCUCUCAAUAGCCUUUUAACCGCAUUUACUGUUCACUCUUGGAUCAUGUGUAGUGAGGGGAAAAAGAUAGCAAAAAAAGGGAAGGGUUUUGGAUUACUGUGUUACAGGAUUCCCACCUAACCAACCCCCCUUCACUCCCCCACAGACUGGAUGGUUCUGUGCAUGUAGCCUUAGAACAGAAAACACUAAAGGCGGAAGGAUUUUUUUCUUCUUCUUUUGGCAGACGGUUGGGUCCAAACAGCAGGGAAAAAUAUGCUUAGGUUAGGAUUAUGUAGGGCUGCAGUGCUAUGUGUUUGAUCAUGGUCCAGAUGUGGCCAUCCGAGAGACCUAAACAGGCCUUUUUUCUCUCGUUUUUAUAUAAUUUGGGGUGUUAAUUACUCACCCUGCACUUGUCUCUGGGGCAACGCAUUGCACUGUGGGCUACGGCCAAUUAUAGCAAAAGGGCCUAGCGAGCAAAUCCUGACACACUGCAUUGAGUAAAGCAAUAACAUACAGAAGUUAUGACUGGUCGAGUGCAAUAAAAUCUAACCCUUAAUAUUUAAUGUAGAUCCAUUAUUGAUGAGGUGUAAAAAACACAGUCUAAAUAAAGGUAAACCCACUUGUGGUGUGCCCUUGCGGUUUCAUGAAGAUUUAUUUUUUAUAAAUAAAAGAAAAAAAAAGAACAGAUAAAACAAUUCUCAACAAAUGUAAAGCCUCUUCCUCUGUAUGCAGUGAACGCUGUGUAACAUGGACUCAUAGUGUCUCUGAUAGUGGCUCGUGUUCCUGACCAUGGCUGCAUGUGUGUGUGUUGCACUAUCAUCUCCCCUGACAUUAUAGUGAUCACCGCGGGGAGCAAGAUUCUGCCUGGGUGCACUCUAAUGCAUAAUUGUACCAGGCAGCAGCCGUUCCUGCUACCGGCACAGUUAGGCUUCGAGUGUGUGCCGCUCAGUGGAGGGUGGAUGGGCAGAUGUCUCAGAGGACUGUAGACAGUCGGCGCACCUCAGCCUCUUCUGGGCUCCAGCUCCGGCUCCCGCUGCAGCACCAUAUGGGCCAGCGCAGACGCCCGUGAGAGAGGCAGAGAUGCCCCCCUGCAGGUACCACCCUGGUCAGGUAAGUUCUGCAUGGCGACGAAGCA